rnacentral:miRNA from 1 species
GAGUGGGGAGGAGAGAGGGACAGAGAGCCUGCUUGCUUUAAAGGAGCCAACACUCGUGUAAGCGGCUCCUCUCCUCUCCCGCUUUGCUCCUUUAAAGCAAGCCGGCUCUCUGUCUCUCUCUCUCCUCCUCACU